UACCGAGGUCCCAAGCGUUGUUCGGAUUCACUGGGCGUAAAGGGUGCGUAGGUGGUGAGGUAAGUCGGCUGUGAAAGCUCGGAGCUCAACUCCGAAAUGGCAUUGGAAACUACCUUGCUCGAGGGUUGGAGGGGGGACUGGAAUACUUGGUGUAGCAGUGAAAUGCGUAGAGAUCAUGAGGAAGACCAGUGGCGAAGGCGGGCCUCUGGACAGUUCCUGACACUGAGACACGAAGGCCAGGGGAGCAAACGGG
rnacentral:rRNA from 1 species